AUUGAACGCUGGCGGCAGGCCUAACACAUGCAAGUCGAACGGAGUGGCGGACGGGUGAGUAAUAUAUCGGAACGUGCCCAGUAGCGGGGGAUAACUACUCGAAAGAGUGGCUAAUACCGCAUACUAUUGGCUGGGCCGAUAUCGGAUUAGCUAGUUGGUGGGGUAAAGGCUCACCAAGGCCACGAUCCUUAGCUGGUUGGGGAGGGCGACCAGCCCAACUGGGACUGGGACACGGCCCAGACUCCUACGGGAGGCAGCAGUGGGGAAUUUUGCGAAAUGGGCGCAAGCCCGAUGCAGCCAUGGCGCGUGUAUGAAGAAGGCCUUAGGGUUGUAAAAUUCUUGUAGUCGGGAAGCGGUACCGACAGAAGAAGCCCCGGCUAACUCCGUGCCAGCAGCCGCGGUAAUAC
rnacentral:rRNA from 1 species